CUCCCUGUAGCUCAACGGAUAGAGCAGCGCCGUCCUAAGGCGAUGAUGGGGGUUCAAUUCCCUCCAGGGAGA
rnacentral:tRNA from 1 species